GUAGUGUGUAGCACGUGCACCCACACCUGUACCUUCAGCUCAUCUCUCCUCCUAUCCUUGCUCCCACGUACAUCCGUACUUACGCCAUCUCGCAAGUGCACAUUUGUGCUUUGCCAGGAUGGAUGCCUUCCGGUCGUUGACGAUCGGCACCAAAUUCAGCGCUGCCCGAAACGGGGAGGCGGCGAAGUUGUUUCGCAACGCGGGCAAGGACAAGGGCAGCCGCGGAUUUCCUGACGCUAUCGGCGCUGAUGGAGCAGUUGCCCUUGAGACGCAUCGGACAUGGGCAGCAGCAGCCUGUCAGUGCCGCCUCCCAGUGCGACGCUGAACCUUUUUGGACGCCCCACAAGGAGUCAAGCUGACGCAAAUGCGCACCUCGGUAUUUCAGGCGGCUCGGACGCUGUCGCUGCCGCCAACACCGCCUCCGACGACAAGGCGCUAAAGGCAAUAACCUUCAAGAAGAAGCGCAACAUCUGGCGCCGCAACGAUCUGCAGGUGACGGGAACGGACUUGCCGGCACCGAUCGAGCACUUCUCCGACCUCGUGCGCCCACCGCUAAGCGUGCCGCGCAAUGUAGUGAACAACCUCUUCGUCCGUCAGCACAAAGUGCCCACCCCAAUCCAGAUGCAAGCGAUCUCAUCCCUCAUCCACCACCGCGACGUGCUUGCCUGCGCACCGACCGGCUCCGGCAAGACGAUUGCGUUUCUCGUCCCUCUUUUUGCGCUGCUCAAGGCACCGGAUGCGUCCUGCGGUGUGCGUGCCCUCAUUGUGACACCCACCGCCGAGCUUGCCCAGCAGAUCGAGCGCGAGGCAUUCUUCUUGAUGAAGGGUCAGCGAUGGAAAUUUGUGCAGCACGGCCAGACGACCAAGAACAAGGACAUUUUCAUUGCCACGCCCGGCCGUAUUGUGUCGCUGCUCGAGCAGAAGCUGCUAGACUUGAGCAACGUGCAGUAUCUCGUGUUCGACGAGGGCGAUCGCUUGUGGGACAGCAGGACGGACUUCUUGACUGUGAUUGACAGGAUUCUCACUGCAUGUACGCGCACCGACAAGGUCGUCAGCCUGUUUACGGCCACGCUGAGCGAGAAGGUCGAGGCAGCUGCCCGCUCCGUCAUGGGCGCCGACCCAGUGCGCAUAAUUGUCCAUGGCCGACGCUCUGCGAACACGCACGUGAAACAGCGAUUGAUCUUCUGCGGCAAUGAGCUCGGCAAAGUCGUAGCGAUGCGCAACCUUGUGCGGGAGGGCAUCACGCCGCCGGUGCUCGUGUUCGUGCAGAGCGUGGAGCGGUCCAAGGAGCUGUACGAGGAGAUUCGGGCAGAAGGCCUGCACAUGGCUAUCAUGCAUGCCAAGAUGACCGUGGAGCAGCGUGAGGAGACGGUGCUGCAGUUCCGUCUCGGCAAAAUCUGGGUCCUUGUGACGACGGAGCUGCUUGCGCGCGGUAUCGACUUCAAGAACGUGGGCACAGUCAUCAACUUCGAUUUUCCAGCAACUGUCGACUCGUAUAUCCACCGCGUGGGUCGCACGGGCCGCGCCGGAAAGGAGGGAACGGCGAUUACGUUUUUUACGGAGGACGACAAGGAGCGACUUCCCCCGAUCGCGAAGGUGAUGCAGGACUCUGGGAACGCCGUGGAGGAUUGGAUACUGGGCAUCAAGGUGGAUCGCAGCACCCGCCGCCGUCUUGAGCGCACAACACCGCAGCGCACCAUUGUCAGCACGCGGAAGCGCAUGCUGGUGGCCCAGCAGCGUAUGCAGCGUCAGUACCGCCGUCUGGAGGCGGAGGAGAACGAGAAGAAGGCAGCGAGGAAAGCCUCCAAGAGGCGCAAGGGCCGCGGGGACUGCGAACGCAACGACGGCGAUGACAGCAUGGAUGAUGAGUAGCAACCCGUGCACAUGCGCAUGCGCUUGUGUGUGUGCGCCAGUGUACAGCUGCGGCAGUACUCUUUCACUCAGUCAGCUGAACACGCUCUCCUCGUCCCAUCCACGCCACCGUUCGACUAGGGACAUCAACCAAACAACGUUUAAACCGCAAGGGUGGGGGUGGACCACCGCGAGGGUACCGCGGUCGCUUCGUAGCCCCGCGUGCUUCGGCUCCUCUUCCCUUGCGGCCCAUGCCAGCCGCCGGUAACACAGAUUUUGUGUAACAUAACACUACAAGAACUAGAACUUGCACGGGAGUGACUGACGCGGCAGACGAGACACGUGAGACACUUGACGUCGUCGAGCCCGCAGAGGACAGCAUCGCGCCUCUCUUCAAGCAAGGCCUCUUUUCCUGAGAGCAAGGGGCAACCGGAGAGCAGAUUCACCGUUUCUCGAUGGCCUCUUCGUCCUUUGAAACCGCAGAGGAUGCCCUGUCCUUCCGAUUAAUACGUGCGCGGAUGAAGGUCGUGGACCCUCUUUUCUCUUGCCCCCCAUCCCCUCGCUUGCCAAUGUCCUUUACGGCAUCGGCACAAAUCUGUUUUCGUUCGCUCUCUCACCACGCACGUUUCGUGCAUGUGGCGGUGAAGCGCUAAAUGAAUGCCGAUGGAGAUGUGCGCCGGCUCCUCUUGUCACGCCUUCACCGCCUUCACCGCUGAACCCUCCUUCCCUCUCCCUUUCUCCGUGAUUUCUACUUCUGCCGCGCGCACGUGCGCUGAGCCGAACGCCUACCCUCCCCUUCUCUUCCUCGUUGAAG
rnacentral:misc_RNA from 1 species